AGAAUGUCUCUGAAAUGAGAUGAGUGGAAAAUGCCUUAAACAGGUGGAUGUGGAACAGGUCGGGGACUUUAAGGACUUCAGUGGAGGAGGGGUGGGUUGGGGAAGGGAAACAAAUGAAGAUGUCUUAGAAGUCACUGCAAUUUAUAUGGAAUCUGUCCAACGCUGACACUGAACCAUGUGAGAAGACGUUUGAAACUAUUGCUUUGCUGAAAACAUCUGACUGCCAGGCUAGGAUGUGACACUUAAGGGACUUACCAAUUUGGGAUUCUUCCAGGAGCUGAAAACUGAUUACAAAUAUGAAACAGAUUUCACUACAGGACUUGAACCCUACAUUAAAAAACAACAAGCUCUCCAAAAUAAUUGAAAAAGAUCUUCACCAAAGAGUAGCUGCAAUGUGAAUGGCAGGAUAUGAAGCAAGUAAGAGAGCUAUCACUGCCAAAGGCUACUGACUAAUGGUGAAAAGAUUAUCUUAAGCUUGGAAUUAAGUGAUGAAAGGGACCUUAGAAAUGAUCAACUCUAAAUACUUCUUUACAGGAAAAUUGAAAGCAGUUAAGAACCUGCCCCCUGCCAUGGAGUUCUUGGUGCCGUGAGUUGGAGUUUUUGGUGCCUGGGUGCAUCCCCAAGGCCACUGGUCUUCAGAUGUUUCUUACUUGAGAAGAACGCCUCCGCCUCCUGGCUCUCCCACCAGUGGUACUGCUACCACCACACACCAGCAUAAAGCACAGAUUGCUGCCCAGCUCCUUGGAGAGGGGCCAGUGCAUUUGUCAGGAAUUGAAAAGUUUUGGAGCCAGUUCGAGGACUUUCUGCUGCACAAAGUGUUGGCUGGAAGCAUGAUUAUCUCACACAGAGCUGUUGGAAUUACUUCGUGAUGAUUUCAAAGAAAAUUUUCAUCUCUGAACACUCUUAUCCCAAGGGCAUCCUAAAGAUCCUCUGGAAUGCAUUGGGUGAGAGAGAAAGUUCUGUGUCAACUCUUCUGGCAGAGGGAAAAGCUGACCGAGGAAGUCAAAAUGAAAGAAAGAAGCAGACGGGACUGAGGCUCCCUGAGAUGCAGAAACUGAGGCACAGAGCAAGGGGCUAGGAUUCUUGACUGUCUUCUGCAGAACACUGAAACAUGCCUCCUCUUUCCUGGCUCCACCAAGCAGAGUUUGGGCUUCAAGAAGACUGAAUGCAUCUGUACAGAGCAUGAUCCCUUCUCCAAGAAGGAAACCAUGGGGCUUAUCAAGAAAGGCAUACACUGAAGAGACUGGAAAGUGAAGAUGCACUAUUUGUCAAGAUGUGCCACAGCAGAAGCGAGUUGUGUUGGCAGUAGGAAACAAGAUAAAGAGGAGAACUCAAAGAAUUGAGAGACGGUUUUGAACAUGAUGAUGGAGAAAUAACACUCUUGGGAGAAAUGAAGAUACUUUCUCCUCCCUGGUUUACCUGAGUUUCCAGCUUUCUCCUCCCUGGUUUACCUGAGUUUCCAGCACCCAGUGAUAAGAAAGGAUGGCAUUAGUGAUGUGUACACCUGCAGUGAUAGCUUCACCUUUCUAAAGCAGAUGCCUUGGUAGACAUUUUGCCAGUCCUCCUUUCUCACUAUACACACAGCUUGGUGUACGCUGGCAGACUUUUGACCUAAUUUCUUAACCCUCAAAUAUUCCAAGACAGAACAAAGCACACAACAAAACCUGAAUGAGGCAGGGCAAAGUGGCUCAUGCCUGUAAUCCCAGCACUUUGGGAGGCCAAGGGGUGGGCAGAUCACUUGAGGUCAGGAGUUUGAGACCAGCCUAGGCAACAUGGUGAAACCCCGUCUCUACUGAAAAUACAAAAAUCAGCCGAGUGUGGUGGCAGAUGCCUGUAAUCCCAGCUACUGGGGAGGCUGAGACACAAGAAUCACUUGAACCCAGGAGGGGGAGUUUGCAGUGAGCCGAGAUUGUGCCACUGCAUGCCAGCCUGAACAACAGAGCAAGACUCUGUCACAAAAACAAACAAAAAACUGAAUGAAUGGAAGCAGAUAAGUGCAGAGAGAAACACUGAUUUACCUUGAGAAAGAUAAACAAGUAGUAUAUUGAUAUACUUGUAUAUUGCUAUCUACUAGUAUAGCUUCAAUUGGUGUAUGAGUAUAGAACUAUUGGGUUGUUCUUUAUGUGAUUACUCCUUCCCAGUUUUAGUAAAGUAUUCCAAUUUGAGGGAAAUUCUUUUAUUUGUCAAUAAAAUAAAAAGAGGUAAGUUUUAAAAUCUG
rnacentral:lncRNA from 1 species